UCUCAUUGCAAAGAGGAUGCAAGCUCUGCCUUUCUAAAUCUGUCUCACUGCUGCCACCUGCUGGUGAAGGACGGAGGCUGGUCACGGGGCUGGGUUUAGUUGGUGACAAGGGUCUUCCAUAGGUCUGUCUUUUUAGUAUUUGAGAAACCAGCCAAAUGACAUGUGAUAGAGACUGACUAUUACUUGGAAGAGGACAAGAAGGUGAUGGUCUGAUGCCCUGAGAAUCUGGUGACAACACCAAUGACAUAUGUCCUGCAGCCUCUUGUACCUCUGCAUUCCUGAUUCCAUCCUGCAGCAGGCUGAGAGUUUAAUUCUGACCUGUGUUGCACAGAGGGCCAAAGAGAAAAAGCAGGAACAAGCGGCUAUGUGCAAACCUGCACAAGGAUAAACUAACCAGAUGUAGUGCCAGGCACUGGAAAUACCGUGUGGACCACAGACAGCAAGGGAGGACUAUAACUAACCAAACUGGAAGACUUAACAUCACACUAACAGGCAAGAGCUGUGCUUUUCUGAGAAGCCUCCCCGUAGAUGUGGAACCAUGUUUACACUCAAAGCACACACCUUGACUUCAGAGAUCUGCCUGCUUCUGUUCAGCCCAAAUGAUAAGCUAGCUGGGUGGAACCCUACCCUGUAACUAACAUUUCUACCAUGCCUGGGCCUAACCUUGCUCUGUCCCAGGCCAACCUUGAACUCAGGUAUCUGUCUGCCCUUGUAAGCAUAAACAAAAACUUACCAGGGUGGGAUCUACUGCAAUCAACACUCCCUAAAUCUCUGUAUUUUCUUCCUUAGUACCUUUCUGACCAGUUGGCUCAUAAUUCAGCUGCCCCUGUUCCUUAUAUAUCUGGAAAGCUCCUUAUAUAAUUCAUAUUGCAUCCUUAAUUUUACAUAUUUGAGAAAUUAUCUAUUUCCCAACUCAGGUUUUCAGAGUUCUUUUCCACAGGUGUAAUGGCUGUCCUAAAGGUCCCAGUGUUUGCCAUUUUUGCUAAAGACACAGACACACCCUAGAUUCCUGGACUCCUGUUGUUUCCAAUUAUCAUGGAGUUGUUAACUUUAACGAGGAGGACAUUCCUUGAAGGAGGAACAUAAAGUAAAAUAUACAAAUAAGCUUUCUGCUGCAGCAACCAUUGACACUUAUGGCUCUGUUGUGGGGGCAGGAGCCAUGUCAUGCAUGCUGUCCCUUAACGCAUGGCCAUGCAGGACUCAGCUCCCUUAGUUUCUGUCUUGCUAUCACUCCUUUCUCAUCAGCAAACCUGUGUAUGUAAACCAUCCAUCCUAUAAUCUCAUUUAACAAAGAGAAACUCUUCAAUCAAGAAGUAUACUCAAACAUUGUAACUUAAUCUUUUAAGUACUUUGAAGAACAUCACUUCAAAAGAGACAAAAUCAUAUAUAGACAAAAUCAUAUAAAAUACCAAGUGGGGAUACUAAUUCUGCACUUACCUUAAUAAACACCAGCUUAGUUCCACGUU